CCUACGGAUUGCAGCAGUGGGGAAUAUUGCACAAUGGGCGCAAGCCUGAUGCAGCCAUGCCGCGUGUAUGAAGAAGGCCUUCGGGUUGUAAAGUACUUUCAGCGGAGAGGAAGGUGUAGUGGUUAAUAACCACAACAAUUGACGUUACCCGCAGAAGAAGCACCGGCUAACUCCGUGCCAGCAGCCGCGGUAAUACGGAGGGUGCAAGCGUUAAUCGGAAUUACUGGGCGUAAAGCGCACGCAGGCGGUCUGUCAAGACGGAUGUGAAUCCCCGGGCUCAACCUGGGAACUGCAUUCGAAACUGGCAGGCUAGAGUCUUGUAGAGGGGGGUAGAAUUCCAGGUGUAGCGGUGAAAUGCGUAGAGAUCUGGAGGAAUACCGGUGGCGAAGGCGGCCCCCUGGACAAAGACUGACGCUCAGGCGCGAAAGCGUGGGGAGCAAACAGGAUUAGAUACCCCUGUAGUC
rnacentral:rRNA from 1 species